rnacentral:rRNA from 1 species
GACGUAGGGCGCGAGCGUUGUCCGGAUUUAUUGGGCGUAAAGAGCUCGUAGGCGGCUUGUCGCGUCGACUGUGAAAUCCCGCGGCUCAACUGCGGGUCUGCAGUCGAUACGGGCAGGCUAGAGUUCGGUAGGGGAGACUGGAAUUCCUGGUGUAGCGGUGAAAUGCGCAGAUAUCGGGAGGAACACCGGUGGCGAAGGCGGUUCUCUGGGCCAGUACUGACGCUGAGGAGCGAAAGCGUGGGGAGCGAACAGG